CACUGGGACUGAGACACGGCCCAGGCUCCCAUGGGAGACAGCAGUGAGGAAUCUUGGACAAUGCACGAAAGUGUGAUCCAGCUAUAUCGCGUGGACGAAGAAGGGUAUUUUGCUUGUAAAGUCCUUUCAGCAAUAAACAUGUUUUUACAUGGAGCCAUAAUGACAGCUCUUGCAGAAGAAGCCCCGGCUAAUUUCUGUGCCAGCAGCCGCGGUAAUACAGAGGGGGCAAGUGUUAUUCGGAAUAAUUGGGCGUAAAUGGCGUGUAGGUUGUGCUUCGCUGUUAUCGGUUAAAUUCCCAUCGAUAUGGUGGGUAAGGCUGAUAGAACGGUUGUACUAGAGAGUGAGAGAGGAUACGGGAAUUUCGAGUGGAGAAGUUAAAUUCUUAGAUAUUCGAAGGAAGGCCAACUGCGAAGGCACAUAUCUGGCUCAUUUCUGACACUGAGGCGCGAAGGCGUGGGGAG
rnacentral:rRNA from 1 species